rnacentral:rRNA from 1 species
AGCGAACGCUGGCGGCAGGCCUAACACAUGCAAGUCGAACGAACCUUUCGGGGUUAGUGGCGGACGGGUGAGUAACACGUGGGAACGUGCCUUUAGGUUCGGAAUAACUCAGGGAAACUUGUGCUAAUACCGAAUGUGCCCUUCGGGGGAAAGAUUUAUCGCCUUUAGAGCGGCCCGCGUCUGAUUAGCUAGUUGGUUGAGGUAUUGGCUCACCAAGGCGACGAUCAGUAGCUGGUCUGGGAGGAUGAUCAGCCACAUUGGGACUGAGACACGGCCCAAACUCCUACGGGAGGCAGCAGUGGGGAAUCUUGCGCAAUGGGCGAAAGCCUGACGCAGCCAUGCCGCGUGAAUGAUGAAGGUCUUAGGAUUGUAAAAUUCUUUCACCGGGGACGAUAAUGACGGUACCCGGAGAAGAAGCCCCGGCUAACUUCGUG